GGGAAGUUGACGUCCCUGGGAUGUCGUCACUUCAUUAUUGCGCGCUCAUGUGAGAUGAGACUUUGUAUUUCAAACGUUUAUCAAGACACAGGAGAGGUCCUGUUGAAAUAUUUAUCCGUUUCACGUUCUCAAGGCCCUAAAGAUUGAUGCUAAACAACGUUUGACAUGUUUGAACGAACGUAAAUAGAUUUUUUUUUUUACUUUUUGUCGUGACUUUUCCCUCCCCGCCCUACAUUUUGAGUAGCCUACCGAACGCGCUAACAACAUGGAACAACUUGGAGUUAUUUGGACAUAAAUUAUGAACUUUGUCGAAAGAAACAACAUUUGUUGUGGACCUGGGAUUCCUGUGCCGUCUGAUGAAGAUUAUUAAAGGAUGUCGGUGGGCGGAGCCUGGAGGGUCGUUAGCGAAAUGGGACACACCUUGGCUCGGGUGUGUCCCGGGAUAAAUACUUCCCCAUUCAUUGAAGACUCUCUCCAUGCAUCAUAUUGUUUGGUUGUGGCAUUUUUGUGUUUGUUUUGUUUGUUUGCUUUGGCACCAUUCAAAAUGAGUCAUCUUUACUUUAUAGAAUGUACAGUAGAAACAAACAGGAAGUGACAGAAUUGCUUCAGUAAAAGCUUUUUUAGCAACCUGAAAUUGCUGCCAGUGAUCAACAACAAAUCCAACAUACAUGGCCUUUGGUUCCAAAUGUGUAAAAAUAAAACACAAUUACAGUAAAGAAGGGAAAAAACACAAAAAUGCACAGUCCUGUUCUAAUCUAUACAAUCUUCAGCAUUUGGCCACAUGCUAGGUGCCUU
rnacentral:lncRNA from 1 species